rfam:Bathyarchaeota archaeon BA1 ba1_63, whole genome shotgun sequence.
CGGAUGCAAAUCCGUAGGGAUGUAACCACAAAGGUUGAACCUCAGC